rnacentral:rRNA from 1 species
CGUAGGGUGCAAGCGUUAAUCGGAAUUACUGGGCGUAAAGCGAGCGCAGGCGGUUAUUUAAGUCAGGUGUGAAAGCCCCGAGCUCAACUUGGGACGUGCAUUUGAAACUGGAUAACUAGAGUGUGUCAGAGGGGGUAGAAUUCCACGUGUAGCAGUGAAAUGCGUAGAGAUGUGGAGGAAUACCGAUGGCGAAGGCAGCCCCCUGGGAUAACACUGACGCUCAUGCUCGAAAGCGUGGGUAGCAAACAGGAUU